rnacentral:rRNA from 1 species
AGGGAAACUUCUGAUAAUACUGGAUAAGUUAGUAUAUCGCAUGAUAUGCAAAUGAAAGCUACGGCACUAAAGGAGAGCUUUGCGUCCUAUUAGCUAGUUGGUAAGGUAAGAGCUUACCAAGGCGAUGAUAGGUAGCCGGCCUGAGAGGGUGGACGGCCACAAGGGGACUGAGAUACGGCCCUUACUCCUACGGGAGGCAGCAGC